GUUCUAACUGAGCGUAAAAGAGUUAAUAUCAAGAUAAUCAAUGCUACUAAUGUCAUCGCAAUUAAUAAAAGAGCGUAUGUGUAAAAUAUAAUUUCAGUAUUAACAAAAUAUAUUCAUCGGUAAAAGCUGUUAAGAGAUAACGAUACGUUUGGAAAACUAGGCGAGUUUGACGAGGUAAUUGCAAAUGACGAUUUUCCGUCCAUCUUAUAACGUAUGAUUUUAACGAGGACGAUCGCAACGCGAAAACGAUCACGUUCCAGCGAAAUUGUGCACGAGCAUCGUGUAUACUUGAUACAUCCCUUUUAUCGACUUCCACCAAAGGAUAUCCCGGCAAAGUGCCGCGCGCCGUCAAGGCAACGAUUUUCAAAGUUCCAGCGCCAUUCCUGAUAUAUGAAAAAAAGAAAGAAAAGAAAAUGUUGAUAAAUUUUCUACGGUUUUUCCACGAAUUUUUCCACAAGAAGGAAUUCCAUUCCCUCUUUUAAAAUAAUUUAUAUGCAUAUAUUUAUCUUAUUGUUAGUACUUAUUCUAUUCAACCCAAACGUGAUGAUUAUUACUCGAGAACCGUCUGGCUUUUGCCCCUCGGAAGUGAAAGGCCGGCCUUCGGAAAACGCUGCCUUAAUAUGGCUUUUAGAUGUGCGACUACAAGGGACUGUUUCGUGCCGGAAAGUUUUUAGGAUCGAUAAAGUCGACGUGCCGUCCCGUCCUUCUCGUGAUUCACUUUUGGAAACGAUUCGUGGACAUAUUGCCUUGCCGUAUUAAUGAUAAGUACUUGAGAAAACAUUUCGAGCGACAAUGCGAAUUACAAAAAUACCGAGCCUCACGAGAUUAGUUAUGAUAUUGUACGAAUAAACGUCGAGAGAGAAAUCGAGCGAAUUAAUAGAUGUUCCAAUAUUAUAAUAAUAAAAUAUUCCCGUUUAACGUUUA